CAGCCGCCACGGUAAAACGGAGGGUGCAAGCGUUAAUCGGAAUUACUGGGCGUAAAGCGUGCGUAGGCGGUUCGUUAAGUCUGUUGUGAAAGCCCCGGGCUCAACCUGGGAAUGGCAAUGGAUACCGGCGAGCUAGAGUGUGUCAGAGGAUGGUGGAAUUCCCGGUGUAGCGGUGAAAUGCGUAGAGAUCGGGAGGGACAUCAGUGGCGAAGGCGGUCAUCUGGGACAACACUGACGCUGAGGCACGAAAGCGUGGGGAGCAAACAGGAUUAGAUACCCCCGUAGUCCCUGUCUCUUAUAC
rnacentral:rRNA from 1 species